rnacentral:rRNA from 2 species
ACGGGAGGCAGCAGUGGGGAAUCUUGCGCAAUGGGCGAAAGCCUGACGCAGCCAUGCCGCGUGAAUGAUGAAGGUCUUAGGAUUGUAAAAUUCUUUCACCGGGGACGAUAAUGACGGUACCCGGAGAAGAAGCCCCGGCUAACUUCGUGCCAGCAGCCGCGGUAAUACGAAGGGGGCUAGCGUUGCUCGGAAUUACUGGGCGUAAAGGGAGCGUAGGCGGACAUUUAAGUCAGGGGUGAAAUCCCGGGGCUCAACCUCGGAAUUGCCUUUGAUACUGGGUGUCUUGAGUAUGAGAGAGGUGUGUGGAACUCCGAGUGUAGAGGUGAAAUUCGUAGAUAUUCGGAAGAACACCAGUGGCGAAGGCGACACACUGGCUCAUUACUGACGCUGAGGCUCGAAAGCGUGGGGAGCAAACAGGAUUAGAUACCCUGGUA